GUGAAAAACUCCGGUGGUAUGGGAUGGACCCGCGUCUGAUUAGCCAGUUGGUGAGGUAACGGCUCACCAAAGCGACGAUCAGUAGCCGGCCUGAGAGGGCGGACGGCCACAUUGGGACUGAGACACGGCCCAGACUCCUACGGGAGGCAGCAGUGGGGGAUAUUGCACAAUGGAGGAAACUCUGAUGCAGCGACGCCGCGUGAGUGAAGAAGUAUUUCGGUAUGUAAAGCUCUAUCAGCAGGGAAGAAAGGCUCGCAAGAGAGAUGACGGUACCUGAGUAAGAAGCUCCGGCUAAAUACGUGCCAGCAGCCGCGGUAAUACGUAUGGAGCAAGCGUUAUCCGGAUUUACUGGGUGUAAAGGGAGCGCAGACGGAUAUGCAAGUCUGAAGUGAAACCCCACGGCUCAACCGUGGGCUUGCUUUGGAAACUGUAGAUCUAGAGUACUGGAGAGGUAAGCGGAAUUCCUGGUGUAGCGGUGAAAUGCGUAGAUAUCAGGAAGAACAUCGGCGGCGAAGGCGGCUUACUGGACAGCAACUGACGU
rnacentral:rRNA from 1 species